UACGGAUGGUCUCAGAUAACCCUGGAGACGCGCACACACACACACCACGCUCAUUCAAGACUGACAAGGACACUGGGUCUGGUGAAACGUCCAUGCUGCAUCUGCAUGACAACCAUGUGAUCCCAAUCAGUUUCAUGGGAAUGUGCAUUUUGAUCUUCUUGAAUGAUGACCUGAGCCCUAGGACCAUGCCUCAGGACUACCUGGCUUGAUGACUCCUUGCUGUCCCCAGUUCACCUGGCCGUGCUGCUGCUCCAGUUCCAACUGUUCUGCCUGCAGCUAUGGAACCCUGACCUGUUCACCGGACGUGCUACCUGUCCCAGACCUGUUGUCCCAGAACUGCUGGAACCCUGACCUAUUCACCGGACGUGCUACCUGUCCCAGACCUGCUGUUUUCAACUCUCUAGAGACAGCAGGAGCGGUAGAGAUACUCUCAAAGAUCGGCUAUAAAAAAGCCAACUGACACUUACUCUUGUGUUACUGACUUG
rnacentral:lncRNA from 1 species